rnacentral:rRNA from 1 species
UACGAAGGGUGCUAGCGUUGUUCGGAUUUACUGGGCGUAAAGCGCGCGUAGGCGGCGGCACAAGUCAGGGGUGAAAUCCCACAGCUCAACUGUGGAAUUGCCUUUGAAACUAGGUCGCUAGAGUGUCGGAGGGGAUAGCGGAAUUGCUAAUGUAGAGGUGAAAUUCGUAGAUAUUAGCAGGAACACCGGUGGCGAAGGCGGCUAUCUGGACGACAACUGACGCUGAGGCGCGAAAGCGUGGGGAUCAAACAGG